rnacentral:rRNA from 1 species
GACGAACGCUGGCGGCGUGCUUAACACAUGCAAGUCGAACGAUGAAGCUAGAGCUUGCUCUGGUGAAUUAGUGGCGAACGGGUGAGUAACACGUGAGUAACCUGCCCCGAACUCUGGGAUAACUGCUGGAAACGGUAGCUAAUACUGGAUACGACCUACGAAGGCAUCUUCUGUAGGUGGAAAGAAUUUCGGUUCGGGAUGGACUCGCGGCCUAUCAGCUUGUUGGUGAGGUAAUGGCUCACCAAGGCGACGACGGGUAGCCGGCCUGAGAGGGUGAGCGGCCACACGGGGACUGAGACACGGCCCAGACUCCUACGGGAGGCAGCAGUGGGGAAUAUUGCACAAUGGGCGCAAGCCUGAUGCAGCAACGCCGCGUGAGGGAUGACGGCCUUCGGGUUGUAAACCUCUUUUAGUAGGGAAGAAGCGAAAGUGACGGUACCUGCAGAAAAAGCACCGGCUAACUACGUGCCAGCAGCCGCCGUAA